rnacentral:tRNA from 1 species
GUAGUCGUGGCCGGGUGGUUAAGGCGAUGGACUUAAAAUCCAUUGGGGUCUCCCUGCGCAGGUUCAAAUCCUGCCGACUAGGUCCA